rnacentral:rRNA from 1 species
AACGCGAAGAACCUUACCUACCCUUGACAUCCACGGAAUCCUGCAGAGAUGCGGGAGUGCCGAAAGGAACCGUGAGACAGGUGCUGCAUGGCUGUCGUCAGCUCGUGUUGUGAGAUGUUGGGUUAAGUCCCGUAACGAGCGCAACCCCUGUUCUCAGUUGCCAGCGCGUAAUGGCGGGGACUCUGAGGAGACUGCCGGUGAUGAACCGGAGGAAGGCGGGGACGACGUCAAGUCAUCAUGGCCUUUAUGGGUAGGGCUACACACGUGCUACAAUGGGGCGUACAGAGGGUAGCCAACCCGCGAGGGGGAGCCAAUCCCAGAAAGCGUCUCUUAGUCCGGACUGGAGUCUGCAACUCGACUCCACGAAGUCGGAAUCGCUAGUAAUCGCGAAUCAGAAUGUCGCGGUGAAUACGUUCCCGGGCCUUGUACACACCGGCUAC